UACAGAGGUCUCAAGCGUUGUUCGGAUUCAUUGGGCGUAAAGGGUGCGUAGGUGGCGCUGUAAGUCGGGUGUGAAAUUUCGGAGCUUAACUCCGAAACUGCAUUCGAUACUGCGGUGCUUGAGGACUGGAGAGGAGACUGGAAUUCAUGGUGUAGCAGUGAAAUGCGUAGAUAUCUGGAGGAACACCGGUGGCAAAGGCGGCAUCCUGGACCAACACUGACACUGAGGAGCGAAAGCCAGGGGAGCAAACGGG
rnacentral:rRNA from 1 species